rnacentral:tRNA from 1 species
GGAAUCUUAGUUUAAGUUAAAACUCCUGUAUUGCAAUCAGGCAAUGUGGCGUGUCUGCAGAUUCUA